CGAGUAUACCGCCGGGCAUGCCUGGCACGUGCCUGGGCUGCCCUUUUUCUUUUUUCUUUUUUCUUUUUUUUUUUUUUAAAUGAAAACAAAAACAGAAAAAGGAAGAGUAGUACUUGCUUUCUCUUUCUCGAUCCCUCUCUCUCAAAAUCGCUGCUCUCAGUUCCUCUCUCACCCGCCGGCCGCUGCUCUCAAUCCCUCUCUCCCUGCUCUCAAUCUCUCUCCCUCACCUCGCCGUAAAGCCGUUCAAUCUUCCGCCGCAGCCGCACCGCACUCACUCUUUCUCUUCGUCUCGUUUGAGGUUGCUUCAACCUAUAAAAUCUUUGUGGACAUUGAAGGGAGUUACGUUGGUUUCUAAUGGCUGGACAGAUGUGCAAAGGAGGCCUUUGAUAAAUUUUAUUGGCAUUUGUGAAGGAGGACAUAUAUUCUUAAAAGUCGUUGAUGGCUCUGAUGAAUAUAAAGACAAGUUUUACAUGACCAACAUAUUUAAUUCUAGAUGGGCAGACAUUGAGUACGCCCCUGAUAAAAUUUCCUCAAAAAAUUUGCCCAGGCUCUCUAACAUUCCUGGAGUCGCCACUG